UGCGUAGGCGGGCUAAUAAGUCAGUGGUGAAAUCUUUCGGCUCAACCGAGAAACUGCCAUUGAUACUGUUAGCCUUGAGUUCGGUUGAGGUAGGCGGAAUGUGUAAUGUAGCGGUGAAAUGCUUAGAUAUUACACAGAACACCAAUUGCGUAGGCAGCUUACUAGACCGACACUGACGCUGAGGCACGAAAGCGUGGGGAGCGAACAGGAUUAGAUACCCUGGUAGUCC
rnacentral:rRNA from 1 species